ACCAGCAUGGUGCAGUGGUUUGUGUGUCAAAUUAGGACUCUGGAGGACCAGGGUUCAAAUCCCUGCUCAGCCA